rnacentral:rRNA from 1 species
AACGAACGCUGGCGGCAUGCCUAACACAUGCAAGUCGAACGAGACAUUCGGGUUUGCUGGCGCACUCGUGCGUAACGCGUGGGGACAUGCCCAUAAAUUCGCCAUAUAUCCGCGAAUAGCGUGCUAAUACCGGCUAUUAUCUUCCGUCCAUAGGUUGAUCGCCUUUGGAUGGGCUCCGGUUGGAUUACCUAGUUGGUAGGGUAAAAGCCUACAACUGCGUCGAUCCAUAGCUGGCCAGAGAGGAUGAGCAGCCACACUGGUACUGAGACACGGCCAAGAAUCUUACGGGAUGGAGCAGUGGGGAAUAUUGGACAAUCGGGGGUAGGAUGAAGCAGCUCGGACGGGUGAGUGAUGAAGGUCGUAGGGUUGUAAAGCUAGUUUAUCCGGGACGAUAAUGACGGUACCGGGAGAAUAAGCUCCGGCUAACUCCGUG